rnacentral:rRNA from 1 species
CCUAUGGGUGGCUGCAGUGGGGAAUAUUGGACAAUGGGCGAAAGCCUGAUCCAGCCAUGCCGCGUGUGUGAAGAAGGCCUUCGGGUUGUAAAGCACUUUCAGUGGGGAAGAAAGCCUUGGGGCUAAUACCCUCGAGGAAGGACAUCACCCACAGAAGAAGCACCGGCUAACUCCGUGCCAGCAGCCGCGGUAAUACGGAGGGUGCGAGCGUUAAUCGGAAUUACUGGGCGUAAAGCGCGCGUAGGCGGUCUGAUAAGCCGGUUGUGAAAGCCCCGGGCUCAACCUGGGAACGGCAUCCGGAACUGUCAGGCUAGAGUGCAGGAGAGGAAGGUAGAAUUCCCGGUGUAGCGGUGAAAUGCGUAGAGAUCGGGAGGAAUACCAGUGGCGAAGGCGGCCUUCUGGACUGACACUGACGCUGAGGUGCGAAAGCGUGGGUAGCAAACAGGAUUAGAUACCCCUGUAGUC